GACACGGGCCCGACUCCUACGGGAGGCAGCAGUAAGGGAAUAUUGGUCAAUGGACGCAAGUCUGAACCAGCCAUGCCGCGUGGAGGAUGAAGGCCCUCUGGGUUGUAAACUUCUUUUCUUUGGGACGAAACCCCUGUUUCUACGGGGACUGACGGUACCAGAGGAAUAAGCACCGGCUAACUCCGUGCCAGCAGCCGCGGUAAUACGGAGGGUGCAAGCGUUAUCCGGAUUCACUGGGUUUAAAGGGAGCGUAGGUGGGCUUUUAAGUCAGUGGUGAAAUCUUUGGGCUUAACCCGAAAACUGCCAUUGAUACUAUUAGUCUUGAAUUCUCUGGAGGUAAGCGGAAUAUGUCAUGUAGCGGUGAAAUGCUUAGAUAUGACAUAGAACACCCAUUGGGGAGGCAGCUUACUACGGAGACAUUGACACUGAGGCUCGAAAGCGUGGGGAUCAAACAGGAUUAGAUACCCUGGUAGUCCACGCCCUAAACGAUGAUUACUCGACAUUAGCGAUAUUACAGUUAGUGUCUAAGCGAAAGCAUUAAGUAAUCCACCUGGGAAGU
rnacentral:rRNA from 1 species